CCCUUAGAUGUUCUGGGCUGCACGCGCGCGACAAUGACGUUUGCAACGAGAUACGAGACCGAAAGGUUAAGUUGAUCUAGCAAGCUGCGUCGUGAUAGGGACUGUCGAUUGCAAUUAUUCGACACGAACGAGGAAUUCCUUGUAAUCGCACAUCAUCAGUGUGCGCUGAAUACGUCCCUGCCCUUUGUACACACCGCCCGUCGCUCCUACCGAUCGAGUGAUCCGGUGAAUGUUUUGGAUCGGUUGCAAGUUGCGCGACGCGUUUCUUGCAUGCUGUGAAAUCAUGUAAGCCUUAUUGCUUAGAGGAAGGAGAAGUCGUAACA
rnacentral:rRNA from 1 species